UACGUAGGGUGCAAGCGUUAAUCGGAAUUACUGGGCGUAAAGCGUGCGCAGGCGGUGAUGUAAGACAGAUGUGAAAGCCCCGGGCUCAACCUGGGAACUGCAUUUGAAACUGGCGGGCUUGAGUGUGGCAGAGGGGGGUGGAAUUCCGCGUGUAGCAGUGAAAUGCGUAGAGAUGCGGAGGAACACCGAUGGCGAAGGCAGCCCCCUGGGCCAACACUGACGCUCAGGCACGAAAGCGUGGGGAGCAAACAGG
rnacentral:rRNA from 1 species